GAUGAACGCUGGCGGCGUGCCUAAUACAUGCAAGUCGAACGCAUUGUGGUUGAAAUGAUAUGAAGAACUUGUUCAGAUUUGAUUUUCAACAUUGCAAUGAGUGGCGAACGGGUGAGUAACACGUGGGAAACCUACCUCUUAGCAGGGGAUAACAUUUGGAAACAAAUGCUAAUACCGUAUAAUAAUUAAAACCGCAUGGUUUUAGUUUAAAAGAUGGUCUUGCUAUCACUAAGAGAUGGUCCCGCGGUGUAUUAGUUAGUUGGUGAGGUAAUGGCUCACCAAGACAAUGAUACAUAGCCGAGUUGAGAGACUGACCGGCCACAAUGGGACUGAGACACGGCCCAUACUCCUACGGGAGGCAGCAGUAGGGAAUCUUCCACAAUGGACGAAAGUCUGAUGGAGCAACGCCGCGUGUGUGAUGAAGGGUUUCGGCUCGUAAAACACUGUUGUAAGAGAAGAAUGACAUUGAGAGUAACUGUUCAAUGUGU
rnacentral:rRNA from 1 species